rnacentral:rRNA from 1 species
UCCGUAGGUGGCGAUCGUUGUCCGGAUUUACUGGGCGUAAAGAGCGCGCAGGCGGUCGUUCAAGUCGCGUGUGAAAGCCCCCGGCUCAACUGGGGAGAGUCACGCGAUACUGAUCGACUCGAAGGCGGGAGAGGGAAGCGGAAUUCCCGGUGUAGUGGUGAAAUGCGUAGAUAUCGGGAGGAACACCAGUGGCGAAGGCGGCUUCCUGGCCCGUUCUUGACGCUGAGGCGCGAAAGCUAGGGGAGCAAACGGG